rnacentral:rRNA from 1 species
GACGAACGCUGGCGGCGUGCUUAACACAUGCAAGUCGAACGGUGAAGCGCCUUCCUUUUUGGUGGGUGUGGGUGAGUGGCGAACGGGUGAGUAACACGUGAGUAACCUGCCCCCUUCUUCUGGAUAACCGCAUGAAAGUGUGGCUAAUACGGGAUAUUCUGGGUCUGUCGCAUGAUGGGUCUGGGAAAGAUAUUGUUUCGGUGGGGGAUGGGCUCGCGGCCUAUCAGCUUGUUGGUGGGGUGAUGGCCUACCAAGGCGGUGACGGGUAGCCGGCCUGAGAGGGUGGACGGUCACACUGGGACUGAGACACGGCCCAGACUCCGACGGGAGGCAGCAGUGGGGAAUAUUGCACAAUGGGCGCAAGCCUGAUGCAGCGACGCCGCGUGAGGGAUGGAGGCCUUCGGGUUGUGAACCUCUUUCGCCAGUGAAGCAGGCCUGCCUCGUUUGUGGGUGGGUUGACGGUAGCUGGAUAAGAAGCGCCGGCUAACUACGUG